rnacentral:rRNA from 1 species
UACGUAGGGGGCAAGCGUUGUCCGGAUUUAUUGGGCGUAAAGAGCGUGUAGGCGGCCAGACAGGUCAGCUGUGAAAACUCGAGGCUCAACCUCGAGACGUCGGUUGAAACCGUCUGGCUAGAGUCCGGAAGAGGAGAGUGGAAUUCCCGGUGUAGCGGUGAAAUGCGCAGAUAUCGGGAAGAACACCCGUGGCGAAGGCGGCUCUCUGGGACGGUACUGACGCUGAGACGCGAAAGCGUGGGGGAGCGAACAGG